GGGCUUGUAGCUCAGUUGGUCAGAGCGCUGUGUUCACAUCGCAGAGGUCCCUGGUUCGAUCCCAGGCAAGCCCACCA
rnacentral:tRNA from 1 species